AUUGAACGCUGGCGGCAUGCUUUACACAUGCAAGUCGAACGGCAGCGCGGGCUUCGUCCUGGCGGCGAGUGGCGAACGGGUGAGUAAUUCAUCGGAACGUGCCCAGCAGUGGGGGAUAGCCCGGCGAAAGCCGGCUUAAUACCGCAUACGACCUGAGGGUGAAAGCGGGGGAUCGAGAUGGCACGAGCUAUUUGAGCGACCGAUGUCGGAUUAGCCAUUUGGUGGGGUAAAGGCUUACCAAGGCGACCAUCCGUAGCUGGUCGGAGAGGACGACUAACCACACUGGGACUGAGCCACGGCCCAGACUCCUACGGGGGGCAGCAGUGGGGAAUUUUGGACAAUGGGGGCAACCCUGAUCCAGCCAUGCCGCGUGCGGGAAGAAGGCCUUCGGGUUGUAAACCGCUUUUGUUGGGGAAGAAAUCCUCUGGGCUAAUACCCCGGGGGGAUGACGGUACCGGAAGAGUAAGCACCGGCUAACUACGUG
rnacentral:rRNA from 1 species